GGGUCAGUAGGUUGGUCGUGCCACCGGUACGUACUGGUCUCGCUGACUCCUCCUUCCUGAAGAACCGUAAUGCCAUUAAUUUGGUGUUGCGGGGAAACAGGACUGUUACUUUGAAAAAAUUAGUGUGUUUAAAGCAAGCUAACGCUUGAAUACAUUAGCAUGGAAUAAUGAAAUAGGACGAUCGAUCCUAUUUUGUUGGUUUCUAGGAUUGACGUA
rnacentral:rRNA from 1 species